UCAACAUUUCAUGCAUUUAUAAAUACAUUUAAGUUAGGGAAGGGUGGAAGUAGAUUGUCCAAGGCUGCAGUCCUGGUGCAGGAAGAGGAAGAUAUUCAGGGCUACAAUUUGAAUGAGAAGCAGAAGACGAACAAGGCCAGGUAUCCUCCAGUCAAUGGGAAGUACGAGUAUUUGGAUCAUACAGCGCAUGUCCAGUUCCUUGCAUGGGGAGAUACUCUGGAGGAAGCUUUUGAGCAAAGUGCAAUGGCCAUGUUUGGCUACAUGACAGAUACUGACACGGUGGAGCCCCUCCAAGCAAUAGAAGUAGAAACACAGGGAGGAGAUUUACAGUCUCUUCUGUUUCACUUUUUGGAUGAGUGGCUUUAUAAGUUCAGUGCUGAUGAAUUCUUCAUACCCCGAGAAGUGAAAGUACUUAGUCUUGAUCAAGUAAAUUUCAAAUUACGGUCAAUUGGGUGGAGAGAAGAAUUCUCAUUGUCCAAGCAUCUUCAGGGAACUGAAGUCAAGGCAAUAAUAUAUUCAAACAUGCAGGUCCAUACUGAAGAGAAACCAGACUUGUGA